GUACAAAUGAUGGUUUGAAUAAAGAAAGAUAUUACGCAUGGGUCACCUCAAGUGAAGGCGCUGCAAGCACAAUGAUUGGUCAUUCUGAAUUUCCCGUCCUUCAUUCUGAAUUUCAAAGGCUCCUGUGACAAGUGGACAUGCAGUGACUGUACCUUUUGUACCUUUGUUUCUGAGGUGAGAACUGCAAAUGCUUAACCGUGAACCUACUCCAGAAUACAUGAUGAUCUUACACAACUUGAACUCUCUCACUGAUUACUUGAUGAUAGUAAAAGAUCUGAUGUUCUGUGUUUUAACAGUUACUAUUUAAGUUAAAAUUGUAGAAAUGUGUUUAACAGCUACCUUCUGUUGGUUAUUGCAGGUGCCUGGAUGGAGGCUCAAAUAGAAGAUGGUGUCAGAUAUAUUGUGUUGUCAAAAUUUUGCCAUUAAAGUGUAUUAUA
ensembl:processed_transcript growth arrest specific 5